GAUGAAGAACGUAGCGAAAUGCGAUAAGUAGUGUGAAUUGCAGAAUUCAGUGAAUCAUCGAAUCUUUGAACGCACAUUGCGCCCCAUGGUAUUCCGUGGGGCAUGCCUGUUCGAGCGUCAUUUACCCCCUCAAGCUCCGCUUGGUGUUGGGCGUCUGUCCCGCUUCGCGCGCGGACUCGCCCCAAAGGUAUUGGCAGCAGUCGUGCCAGCUUCUCGCGCAGCACAUUGCGCUUCUCGAGGCACCGGUGGGCCCGCGUCCAUCAAGCUCACCCCCCCAGUUUGACCUCGGAUCAGGUAGGGAUACCCGCUGAACUUAAGCAUAUCAAUAAGCGGAGGA
rnacentral:misc_RNA from 1 species